GGAGGCCGAGUCGCCACCCGCUGCCGGUCCUCAGACCGUCCUGAUCGACCAAGCUCAGGGUCGAGGGGCGCGCCGGAUCUGGGCGCGGUGGCUCGUAUCCCAGGGAGAUCCCCACGUUGCGCGGAAGGACGGCGACCUCGCCACCCGGGCUCCCUUCCUGGUCAGCGCCCUGCGGAAAGGUUACUGGCGGACCACCCUGUGCAGUUUGGGGACUAUGUGGCUGCGCCCGUCAAGACGGAGAAUGAGCACAUGCCCGCCGACAGGUACCCCAGAUGCUGUGGCCGUGGCUCGAGGGCCUGGAUUUGGCCGUCGUUAGAAAGUACGCGAUAGAUGGGAUUUGGAAGCUGAUUAAAUCUGCAAAUUCUUUGCCGUUGACUCCGGCAUUGUCUGUCAACUACCUUGAUAGGUUCCUCUUCGUCUAUCCCUUUCCUGAAGGCAAAGCGUGGGUGACACGGCUCUUGGCAGUGGCUCGCUUUUGUCUCGCUUUAAAGAUGGAGGAGACCUAUGUGUCACUCCCCAUGGACCUGCAGGUGAUUGAGGCAAAGUCUGCUUUGGAGGCAAUGACCAUAAAAAGGAUGGAGCGGUUACUGCUUGCUCAUUUAUUGACUACUUCCUUCGCAACUUCAAUCAUCAUGACGCACCCUCCAUGCUCGCAUUCACCCGCACGACCGACUCCAUCCCGAGCACAGCUAAAGGAGCGAGUGUUAAGAUGCCACAAAUUGAUUCAGGACAAGAUAACAAUGGGAACCACUGUCAUCAAAUCGGUUGGAUCAUCAAUGUUCUAUGUGCCGCAAAGCCCGAUAGGCGUGUUGGAUGCUGUUGUAUGUCUCAGCCAACAGAGUGAUGAUACUGUUGUUGGAUCUCUAGCAACAUGAUACCACAUCGCUCUUCGACAAGCAAAAGGAUGAGAAUUGACAGAUGACCGAUCACAUGUCAUGAUGUACUUCAGGCAGUAGCCCUCUUCAAGUCCUACUUUGGUGGAACUUUUGAUGAAGAUGCUAUCAGGAAUAACUUGAUGUCUAUACCAACUUCUUGAUGUUAAGGGCACAUCCAGUUUUGGACUUUGCCUGGUGCUUCAGUUUCCACCAUGGAUUGCUUUUUUGUGUGAUACCGACUCUGCAACUGUGCAGAGAUUAUGGACAUCAGUUAUCCUCAGAAUCUCUCACCUGAAAUUCUGAAGUUAUAUAUAAUCCAGGAAGGCGUACCGUCGCCAUUUUCCUCCAAGAUUUGAAAUUGAAAAUAAUCUGUCAAAACUGAAAGAAAUUGGAGUAUUAAAGAUCUGCUUGUACUGUCAUUUUUUUGUUUGAAUUGUGCACCAAAAUAAACUGUUGCCAAUCAGUUAGUAGCAUAAUUAUUGAUAGGGAGUAUUUAGGACAAUCCAUGAGGUAUACUUAGAUGCAAAAAAAAUCUGUUAGAAGAUGUUCGUUUUUUUCCUGUGUGCAACUUAUGUAUAUGGGGGUUCAGGAAUAUCAUUUGUACUGAAUUUUACUGUCCAGAUUGUAGCUUGUACUGUCAUUUCUAAAAAACAGUAACACAAAAAGAUCAGAUCCAGCUCCAUAAUUUUACUGUAUGAGACAGCCUAUAUAAUUUUCAGCUCCAUAAUUUUCAGUUUGUAGA